GGGGAUGUAUUUCAGUGGUAGAAAGCGACUUUAGCAUUUCUCGUCUGAAUAGUCGUAACCGGUGUUCGAUUCACCGCAUCUCCA